CUACGUGCCAGCAGCCGCGGUAAUACGGAGGGUGCAAGCGUUAAUCGGAAUUACUGGGCGUAAAGCGCACGCAGGCGGUUGAUUGAGUCAGAUGUGAAAUCCCCGGGCUUAACCCGGGAAUUGCAUCUGAUACUGGUCAGCUAGAGUCUUGUAGAGGGGGGUAGAAUUCCAUGUGUAGCGGUGAAAUGCGUAGAGAUGUGGAGGAAUACCGAUGGCGAAGGCAGCCUCCUGGGAUAACACUGACGUUCAUGCUCGAAAGCGUGGGUAGCAAACAGGAUUAGAUACCCUGGUAGUCCACGCCCUAAACGAUGUCAAUUAGCUGUUGGGCAACUUGAUUGCUUAGUAGCGUAGCUAACGCGUGAAAUUGACCGCCUGGGGAGUACGGUCGCAAGAUUAAAACUCAAAGGAAUUGACGGGGACCCGCACAAGCGGUGGAUGAUGUGGAUUAAUUCGAUGCAACGCGAAGAACCUUACCUGGUCUUGACAU
rnacentral:rRNA from 1 species